rnacentral:lncRNA from 1 species
AUCAAUUUGGGCCUGAGGAAAAUUCAGGUGGAAGACAAUUAAAUAACUAACCACCUCCGCAAGGUGCAGAACUCAAACCCAAGUCUCCCUCCCACGCCCUGGGCUCCAGGGAAGCCCUUGGGUGUUGUUGUUGAAACAGGACGAGGCGUGACCCCGGGUCUGCGUUGUUUGGCGUGGGUUCUCACUAUGUUGCUUAAGCUGGUCCAGAACUCAAGCCAGUCUCUCACUUCAGCCUCUUGAGUCGUUGGGAUUACAGAAGCCACCAUGUCCAACUGCUGAUCUUGAACUCCUGGGCUCAAGCGAUCCUCCCACCUCGGCCUCCCAAUGUGUUGGGAUUACAGGCGUGAGUUGCGGCGCCC